rnacentral:rRNA from 1 species
AGAACGAACGCUGGCGGCAUGCCUAAUACAUGCAAGUCGAACGAACUCUUCGGAGUUAGUGGCGCACGGGUGCGUAACGCGUGGGAAUCUGCCCCUUGGUUCGGAAUAACAGUUGGAAACGACUGCUAAUACCGGAUGAUGACGAAAGUCCAAAGAUUUAUCGCCAAGGGAUGAGCCCGCGUAGGAUUAGCUAGUUGGUGAGGUAAAGGCUCACCAAGGCAACGAUCCUUAGCUGGUCUGAGAGGAUGAUCAGCCACACUGGGACUGAGACACGGCCCAGACUCCGUACGGGAGGCAGCAGUAGGGAAUAUUGGACAAGUGGGCGAAAGCCUGAUCCAGCAAUGCCGCGUGGAGUGAUGAAGGUCCGUUAGGUUAGUAAGCUUCUUUACCGAG